GGGAAUGACAUGUUGUUUGGGGUGGCUUAUUGAAGAGUAGAGGUACAGAGAGAGUUGGAACAGGUGAGAGGUGGGUUUGCUGUUCACAGGGCAGAGAGAGAAGAGUGAGUAGUCAGUGGCUAUUCAACAUGUGGAACAAGCUGUCAUGCUGAGCUGUGUAUCAUGAAGUUUCAGAGCAGAAUAGAAGACCCAGAUGCAGAAAAAUGUGGGUAGAUGAACAAUUCAGGCAGAACCAAAAAUCAACUAGAGGAAACAACAACAACAAC
rnacentral:lncRNA from 1 species